rnacentral:rRNA from 1 species
GUUCCCUAGAGUUGUAGGGCUUUGCCUGCUAUCUCUUACCCAUGUCUUUUGAGUACCUUACGUUUCCUCGGUGGGUUCGCCCACCGAUUGGACAAAUUUAAACCCUUUGCAGUUGAAAUCAGCGUCUGAAAAAACUUAAUAGUUACAACUUUCAACAACGGAUCUCUUGGUUCUGGCAUCGAUGAAGAACGCAGCGAAAUGCGAUAAGUAGUGUGAAUUGCAGAAUUCAGUGAAUCAUCGAAUCUUUGAACGCACAUUGCGCCCCUUGGUAUUCCAUGGGGCAUGCCUGUUCGAGCGUCAUUUGUACCUUCAAGCUCUGCUUGGUGUUGGGUGUUUGUCUCCUGUAGACUCGCCUUAAAACAAUUGGCAGCCGGCGUAUUGAUUUCGGAGCGCAGUACAUCUCGCGCUUUGCACUCAUAACGACGACAUCCAAAAGUACAUUUUUACACUCUUGACCUCGGAUCAGGUAGGGAUACCCGCUGAACUUAAGCAUAUCAAUAAGCGGAGGAAAGG